rnacentral:rRNA from 1 species
GAUAGAUGUGGGAAGGAGGGCGAGGGAGAAGAGGGGGGGCGAGCGUGAAUCGGAUUGGCUGGGCGGAAAGCGCGCGGAGGUGGGUAAGUAAGUCAAAUGGGAAAGUCCCGAGCGUAACGGUGGAAGUGCAUUCGAUACUGGUUAGCUAGAGUAUGGGAGAGGAUGGUAGAAUUCCAGGUGUAGCGGUGAAAUGCGUAGAGAUCUGGAGGAAUACCGAUGGCGAAGGCAGCCAUCUGGCCUAAUACUGACACUGAGGUGCGAAAGCAUGGGGAGCAAACAGGAUUAGAUACCCUAGUAGUC